rnacentral:rRNA from 1 species
UUGGUGCUUGCACUAACACUUAGUGGCGAACGGGUGAGUAAUACUUGGGAAUCUGCCUUGUAGCGGGGGAUAACGUUUCGAAAGGAACGCUAAUACCGCAUACGUCCUACGGGAGAAAGGAGGGGAUCUUCGGACCUUCCACUAUAAGAUGAGCCCAAGCGAGAUUAGCUAGUUGGUAAGGUAAAGGCUUACCAAGGCGACGAUCUCUAGCUGGUCUGAGAGGAUGAUCAGCCACACUGGGACUGAAACACGGCCCAGACUCCUACGGGAGGCAGCAGUGGGGAAUAUUGGACAAUGGGCGAAAGCCUGAUCCAGCCAUGCCGCGUGUGUGAAGAAGGCCUUCGGGUUGUAAAGCACUUUAAGCGAGGAGGAAUGGCUCUGGGUUAAUACCCUUGAGCAGUGACGUUACUCGCAGAAUAAGCACCGGCUAACUCUGUGCCAGCAGCCGCGGUAAUACAGAGGGUGCAGGCGUUAAUCGGAAUUACUGGGCGUAAAGCGCGCGUAGGCGGUUACGUAAGUUGGAGGUGAAAUCCCCGAGCUCAACUUGGGAAUUGCCUUCAAAACUGCGUGGCUAGAGUGUGGGAGAGGAAGGUAGAAUUCCAGGUGUAGCGGUGAAAUGCGUAGAUAUCUGGAGGAAUACCGAUGGCGAAGGCAGCCUUCUGGCCUAGCACUGACGCUGAGGUGCGAAAGCAUGGGGAGCAAACAGGAUUAGAUACCCUGGU